rnacentral:lncRNA from 1 species
GGUUACCACUGGAGGGGUUUGAGCAGAGCCAUGGCAUAUACUGAUCUACGUUGGAAGCAGAAAAACUGCCAGGAAAAUGUCACAGCCACCCCUUACUGAACAGCAGAAACACCAGCAAAACACCAACUGCAACAUGGUGUAUUUUGAAGGUGAGAUUAAAUUUACCUACACCUAGAGAAAUAAUUGGAGCACAUGUCUAUUUGGGCCAAGAGGAUAAAGGCCAGUAGAGGAAUCAGAUCAAAGAACUUCCUCAGGGAAGUGUGCAGAGAACUGGAGUGGACCUUCCCCUAGGAAGCUGCCCAAAACGAGAGUGCUGGAAAGCUGGCCGCAGUGAGGCACUUCAGAUCCCAAGGGUAUGCUGGGGAAGCUGCCACAGGUGGGAGCACUUGCUGCUGGACCCUAGGCACUGUUGAAACAACUGCACCAUCUGCAGGAGCCCAGCAAGGUGCCUUCAGCCAUGAUUAUAAGUUUCCUGAGGCCUCCCCAGCCAUAAGAAACUCCAAAGCCAGGCAUCCCAUCUGGAGAGAGAGAAGACUGAAGCAGAAACACAAUGGGAAGGAAGCAAAGAUGGAGAGAUGAGUUUUUGGAUUCAACUGAAGCCCUUGCUAUCUGCUAGAGUCAGAGUCAUCACAAUUGGGGGGUCUUCAUUAAGCUACACUUUUUAAUGGAACAUCCUAGUGAGGUUUGAGAGUACAGCUUUAUGGUCUAUAUUACAUUACUAAGCCGAUUUUAUUGGAAAGAACUUGUUUGCAUCCCUGCUAGACAAAAACCUACAAGUUAACCUUUGCCCGUAUGGAGUUGUAAAACAGACCAGUUGAUAGAAAGAGAAGCCUGCUUCCCGAAGCCCUCAGCAGAAGCCGAGCAGAUGUUGGCACCAUGCUUCUUGUACAGCCUGCAGAACUUGAAGAAACACUCCAUAUUAGUUUUCUGGAGCCAUCGUUAUGAAGCAACACAGACUGGGUGGCAUAAACAAUGGAGAUUUAUUUUUUCACAAUUCCGGAGGCUAGAAGUUUGAGAUCAAGGUGUUGGAAAGUGUCUCAGGAUGAUACAUACCGGUUUUUAACUUUGGUGUCAUCAAAUGCAAUUGCAAUGUGACUGUUUCUUGAAAGCCCGAACUGCUUGCUCCCUAUCAAAAGAGCUGGUUCUGAUUCUGCAGCACAAGGACCCUGUAAAAUACCCAGGAGAGAAAAACAGGAGAUUAUGGACUGUUCUUUAAAAAGCAUUUUAAAGGGGGAACAAGUGAGAUGGAAUAGAAACUGCCCUGUGCUUUGCUCAGAAAUAAAAUGAUCUUGUCACUAAGGAUGAUGUUUUCAACUCUGCUUGCCACUGAAAUCUAAGCUAAGAAAAAAGGUGCAAGGAGCACAUUGCUCAACCAAUUCCAUCGUGGACACUAAGGAAGAGAAUGAGAUAUUCAAGAGUUUUCAAGAUCUGCACUCAAGACAACAUUGCCCACCCAUUACUGGUAUGGAAUAUAACCACAACACAUGAGCUGUAAAGAGUGUAGUGACUGUGACCAUCUUUGUUGUAUUGGUGAUAAGAAUGUAAAUUGGCAUAGCCUGUGGAAGAAACAAUUCAGAUUCGGCUCUGGUCUGAUCACAAUUUUCCUCAUUGUUCGUGCCCCUGUGGAGAGAUGCACUUCCAGACGGCCCCUGUUGAGGAGUAUUGCAUAAUAGGCCUGCAACAGCAAGUGGUUAUUGAAGAUUAAACAGAAGUCUCAUUUAUGGCUUAGCUUUAGAGAUUCCCUGGCAGAACCACAGGAAUCUGUUUUAUUUUAAGCACUAUCCUGAAAGCUGGUGAUUCACAUUCAUUUCUUUUAUCUUGAAGAGGAGAAAUUUGGAGCCAGAAUUUCAUCUUUGAUAUAAAUUUUAGAAUAAGCUGUCAUGAUUCACAGAAAAAUAAGACAAAAUAAUUCCUAUGAACCCUUUCAUUGAGAAAAACUAGAUUAAAUGGAAAAUUACGUUUUAAAAAAUGUGAUUGAAGAUAUUAAAGAAUACCAAGGCAAUAAGAGAGAGGAUGGGAUGAGUCAGGCCCAAAAGACUAUUACUUCAGCUUGUGCAACUGGGAAAAUGAUCUUAGAGGAAUUUACAUUUAAAUUUAAGGGACCGAAGCUGACUGUCUACAGAUUUGGAACAUCCUAGAGAAGACAAUUGUCCUGGGGAGAUGAUGUGAGUGAAAUAGGAGGCCAGCAUGGAAAUAUGGAAUGUUCAGUCCUUGCUAGCCAAGAUGAGAGCAGAAAUAAAUGAUACGAAACUAAAAAUACAAAAGUGGUGCUGGUGUCCCUCCACUUCCCAAAAGAAUGAUGCCGGACUCAUUCUUGGUGCUGAAUGACAGGUUGAUUUCUGUUCCUACAUCAAUUGGCACAGGGGAGAGCUCCACAAAACCAGGCUUAGGAAAGCUAACUGUGUAAACAUUCUAGUGGGUGUCUAUGGCCAAUUCCAAAUUGGAGCCUGUAGCUAUGAACAAUGAAGAUCCUGAAAGUUCUGUUCCAGUCUUUAAACCUCAUCAUUCAAGUGGUGGAUUUACUUUUUUCUUUACCCACAUUUUCCCUUCAUUUCCCUAAUUCUAUUGGAGUGGUUUAAGAUAAUUUUGAUUAGAAGCAGCAGACAAAAUGAAUAAUUGUAUUAUGAUAGGAUAAUUAAAAAUGUAUGAGAAUGACA